CAUGCAAGUCGAACGGUAACGCGGGGCAACCUGGCGACGAGUGGCGAACGGGUGAGUAAUGUAUCGGAACGUGCCCAGUUGUGGGGGAUAACUGCUCGAAAGAGCAGCUAAUACCGCAUACGACCUGAGGGUGAAAGCGGGGGAUCGCAAGACCUCGCGCAGUUGGAGCGGCCGAUAUCAGAUUAGGUAGUUGGUGGGGUAAAGGCUCACCAAGCCAACGAUCUGUAGCUGGUCUGAGAGGACGACCAGCCACACUGGGACUGAGACACGGCCCAGACUCCUACGGGAGGCAGCAGUGGGGAAUUUUGGACAAUGGGGGCAACCCUGAUCCAGCCAUGCCGCGUGCGGGAAGAAGGCCUUCGGGUUGUAAACCGCUUUUGUCAGGGAAGAAAAGACUCCUGUUAAUACCGGGGGUUCAUGACGGUAC
rnacentral:rRNA from 1 species